AACGAACGCUGGCGGCAGGCCUAACACAUGCAAGUCGAGCGAGGACUUCGGUCCUAGCGGCGGACGGGUGAGUAACGCGUGGGAACGUGCCCCUUGGUACGGAAUAGCCCCGGGAAACUGGGAGUAAUACCGUAUGAGCUCUACGGAGGAAAGAUUUAUCGCCAAGGGAUCGGCCCGCGUUGGAUUAGGUAGUUGGUGGGGUAAUGGCCUACCAAGCCGACGAUCCAUAGCUGGUUUGAGAGGAUGAUCAGCCACACUGGGACUGAGACACGGCCCAGACUCCUGCGGGAGGCAGCAGUGGGGAAUCUUAGACAAUGGGCGCAAGCCUGAUCUAGCCAGGCCGCGUGAGCGAUGAAGGCCUUAGGGUUGUAAAGCUCUUUCAGCUGGGAAGAUAAUGACUGUACCAGCAGAAGAAGCCCCGGCUAACUCCGUGCCAGCAGCCGCCGUAAUAC
rnacentral:rRNA from 1 species